rnacentral:rRNA from 2 species
ACACGGGGUGAGUGAAGAAGGGUUUCGGCUCGUAAAGCUCUGUUGUUGGAGAAGAACGUGCGUGAGAGUAACUGUUCACGCAGUGACGGUAUCCAACCAGAAAGUCACGGCUAACUACGUGCCAGCAGCCGCGGUAAUACGUAGGUGGCAAGCGUUAUCCGGAUUUAUUGGGCGUAAAGCGAGCGCAGGCGGUUGCUUAGGUCUGAUGUGAAAGCUUUCGGCUUAACCGAAGAAGGGCAUCGGAAACCGGGCGACUUGAGUGCAGAAGAGGACAGUGGAACUCCAUGUGUAGCGGUGGAAUGCGUAGAUAUAUGGAAGAACACCAGUGGCGAAGGCGGCUGUCUGGUCUGCAACUGACGCUGAGGCUCGAAAGCAUGGGUAGCGAACAGGAUUAGAUACCCUGGUAGUCCAUGCCGUAAACGAUGAGUGCUAGGUGUUGGAGGGUUUCCGCCCUUCAGUGCCGGAGCUAACGCAUUAAGCACUCCGCCUGGGGAGUACGACCGCAAGGUUGAAACUCAAAGGAAUUGACGGGGGCCCGCACAAGCGGUGGAGCAUGUGGUUUAAUUCGAAGCUACGCGAAGAACCUUACCAGGUCUUGACAUCUUGCGCUAACCUAAGAGAUUAGGCGUUCCCUUCGGGGACGCAAUGACAGGUGGUGCAUGGUCGUCGUCAGCUCGUGUCGUGAGAUGUUGGGUUAAGUCCCGCAACGAGCGCAACCCUUGUUACUAGUUGCCAGCAUUCAGUUGGGCACUCUAGUGAGACUGCCGGUGACAAACCGGAGGAAGGUGGGGACGACGUCAGAUCAUCAUGCCCCUUAUGACCUGGGCUACACACGUGCUACAAUGGACGGUACAACGAGUUGCGAACUCGCGAGAGUAAGCUAAUCUCUUAAAGCCGUUCUCAGUUCGGACUGUAGGCUGCAACUCGCCUACACGAAGUCGGAAUCGCUAGUAAUCGCGGAUCAGCAUGCCGCGGUGAAUACGUUCCCGGGCCUUGUACACACCGCCCGUCACACCAUGGAAGUUUGCAAUGCCCAAAGUCGGUGGCCUAACCAUUUGGAGGGAACCGCCUAAGGCAGGGCAGAUGACUGGGGUGAAGUCGAACAAGAGCUUGCCCC